CAGCCGCCGCGGUAAUACGUAGGUCCCGAGCGUUGUCCGGAUUUAUUGGGCGUAAAGUGAGCGCAGGCGGUUAGAUAAGUCUGAAGUUAAAGGCUGUGGCUUAACCAUAGUACGCUUUGGAAACUGUUUAACUUGAGUGCAAGAGGGGAGAGUGGAAUUCCAUGUGUAGCGGUGAAAUGCGUAGAUAUAUGGAGGAACACCGGUGGCGAAAGCGGCUCUCUGGCUUGUAACUGACGCUGAGGCUCGAAAGCGUGGGGAGCGAACAGGAUUAGAUACCCCUGUAGUCCCUGUCUCUUAUACC
rnacentral:rRNA from 1 species